rnacentral:piRNA from 1 species
UNGUAUUCAUUCCUCCCUCAGCAGAAGC